UUCGGUUCAGAGGUCGCACCAUGUAUGAAGAUGAAAACAACUGAGUUGGAAUCCAUCAAAAUUUUGAGUUGUUUUCAUCUAUUGACUUUCAAAGCCUGGAACUUAGCGAAGACGCAUACGUUUUCGAACAAAAUAGAUGAAAACAACUCAGAGAGUUCCAAAAACCAGUGUUGAUUGUUUGGAUGCGAUGGUCGGAGACCAGUUACGGAAUAAUCACAGUAAUCAAGCAAUCUCUACGGAAGCCAUCAUUCACAACUAUAAAUCAGCUCAAAUUAGACAGAGUGUGCUGGUGGGUGAGCGUGGCAGGUGGGAUAGCACGUAGUUCCUCCCGCUGAGUGCAGUCAAAUGGCCCGGCGGUUCUAAUUUUUUUUGUGGUGAAGAUAAAACCAACCGGAUAAAAAUGCACGCAUCCAUCUUCUGAAUACAAUCGUCUUUUUCUUUU